rnacentral:rRNA from 1 species
CCUACGGGUGGCUGCAGUCGAGAAUCAUUCACAAUGGGGGAAACCCUGAUGGUGCGACGCCGCGUGGGGGAAUGAAGGUCUUCGGAUUGUAAACCCCUGUCAUGUGGGAGCAAAUUAAAAAGAUAGUACCACAAGAGGAAGAGACGGCUAACUCUGUGACAGCAGCCGCGGUAAUACAGAAGUCUCAAGCGUUGUUCGGAAUCACUGGGCGUAAAGCGUGCGUAGGCUGUUUCGUAAGUCGUGUGUGAAAGGCGCGGGCUCAAGCCGCGGACGGCACAUGAUACUGCGAGACUAGAGUAAGGGAGGGGGAACCGGAAUUCUCGGUGUAGCAGUGAAAUGCGUAGAUAUCGAGAGGAACACUCGUGGCGAAGGCGGGUUCCUGGACAUUAACUGACGCUGAGGCACGAAGGCCAGGGGAGCGAAAGGGAUUAGAUACCCUUGUAGUC